AAUGCACACAAAAAACAGGCUUUCACCCACCCAAUGAAAAAAACACGAAACUUUAUACAUACACUUGUGCUUCCCACAUUUUUUUCUAAUUAUUAAAAAACCCUAUAUGUUGUAUUGGCCAAUCAUCUAUUCAUCUAUAAAAUAAAGUUAUUAAAUAUUUAAAAUAAUUGAAAUAACACAGCCUUUAUAUUUUCUAUGCAUACAAAUUUGGACUUGCUUUACUUCUGACGGCCGCUUAUCCAAAUUCCUUUAAAAAUAAAUUACACCCUGUACCAAAUAAGAUCUUCUGGCUGCAUCAUAACUUAUAAACUAUAAGAACUUUGUCUCUGAACAGCAACUACACAGUGUUGUGGCGCAGAGGAUCAGAAAAAGAGCUUUAAGGCUUAUUUGAAAAAAACAAAACAAAAAACACUCAGACAGUACACUACAACUCUUAUUAUUAUUUUGUUCCAAACUUCACAUUUAUAAUUUCUUCAAAUCAUUCCCUUUUUUUUUUUAAACCUUAGAGCCACAAUGGAUGGACAUGUGGCUCCAUAGCCUCAGGUUGCAGAUCCCUGCCCUGGACUCAGCAGGCCAGGUUCCCAAUGAAGAAACACGGGAGUCAAAGCUCAUUGCUGGGUCUGCCUGCAGGUAAUGCUCACCUACAAGAGAUGUCUGAAUUCAAACACUGUAAAUGCUGUCUGUCACAGACCCAUAAUUAAUACGCUCAACUGUAAAUAACAGAAACAAGGUUAUGUCAAAGGCGUGGAUGCAUCAAACUUUUUUUUUAAAUCUCGGUGGUUGACAAUCACAUCAGCUGUUUACUACGAUGUAAGAAUGAAGCCUACCCCUCCAUUGUUGUUAUUUAAAAUUGAACAUGAAAGUUUGAAAAGGUUUUUAGCCUUGAAAUGUUUGGUAUAACAUAAAUAUAGCAAGAGUUAUGAUAUAUUUUUAAGUGGAGCUUCAUGUGUUUUUUAAAAAUUAUUAUACAGUUUUUAUCUUGUUUGUCUCUACAUGUUUGAUCUGUUUCUUAUAAAACAUAAAAACUGCUUGAUUACAUUUUUUCUUGUCCAUUUUCAGCUCCUCCCUGCUGGAAAUGAUUCCUGUCAGAUUUAUGUUUUUAGCAAUAACCGCUGGCACAGAUUCAAAGUAGAAAUUCUGAAAACACAUUUAAAUAGAAACUCAUGUCUGCUUUUUGGGAAAAGAUGGAAAAGACUCAGAUUGGUUGUCAGACUGUCUGCCGCCCCUCUGUUUUUUUUUUUAAAGGACGUCCACACAUCAGGAAGGAUGACACACAAACACACACAGGGAAAUACUCCUGAGUAUUUUUACUGUAAGCACUCGUCAAAGUGAGUCAAUACCAUUAUGGGAUGUAUUUUCCUCAUUGUUACCCUUCAGACCUUCAGCUCAUCUCAUACAGCUUCUUUACCAUGUGCCACCUUAGAUUUUGGUGAGUUGGUCUAUUACCUGUACUCCUCAAUCGUCACAGAAGGUUACGCAGUGAACAUCGGCGCUGCAGCUGGUAAAUCUGAUUGUAUUAUAUGACCUUCUCUGCACCUGGAAAAACACCAUUUGUAAAUCCGGUGGACAGUGUGCCUGUUGGUAAUCCCCGACUCCCUAUUGAUCCAUAAUGCUCCCCUAUACCUUUAAUGCCUGUCCCUGGCAUGCUUUCUUGGCUGUGCACAAAGAUUUAAACAGUAAGUCAAAUCAGAUAACUGGAAGGAUGGAAUA